GUCCUGAUUUUAAUAUUUUGAAGGCUCUUGUCCUGAUUUUAAUUCUCUUGGUUCAAACCAUUUCCUAAUAAGUCAGUUUUAAUGAAGUGUUAAAAGGAGAACUUAAAUAAGGGUAAUUUCUGAUGGAGAAUAAUGGGAAGAAGUGGUUUAAGUUAACUAAACAUGUUUUAUAUCAGUCCAUGGUUAUUUAAUUGAGCAUUGUUUGGAAUUUUUCUUUUUGCAUUCGUUCCUGGUGUGCUUUUCUCUAUCUAAGGGAUGUUUGGAGGUCUUUUUGGUUGGUUGAAGGUUUUUAAUGUCAGUGCUGGAUUGGGGUGGACAGUCAUUGUAACAUGAUUUAGAGUUGGAUGCAUUUUAUUCUGUGUGCCCUGUUUGAUGUCUCGUGUUCAGCGAGUGACUGGUCAGAGUUUGGCCCAAGCCUUUGUUUUUCAGGUGAAAAACCCGAAGGGGGAAUUGUAGUUGCAGCUUUGCCCUUGAGCUGCAGCUGGAGCCUGGCCAAAGAACAAGGCAAAGCUCCCUGGGGAAGGAAGGGGGAGCCAGAGAAGAAAAGCAGCUGCAGCCAGAAAGUGGGAUGGAGCCUGGAAAGUGCACAGAGCUGAGCCCAGGGAUUGAAAGGGACCAAGCAAGGGAGGUGAAGAAAGAAGGAAGAAGGGAAGUGAGGCAGCAGGCAAGCAGCACCAAGUUGCUGUGUAAGCAGUGGGAUGUUCCCUAGAAAGUGCAUGGAGCUGAGCCAAGGAACUUAAAGGGACUGAGCAAGCAAAGUCAAGAAAGAAUGAAGAGGGGAACUGAGGCAGCAGCCAAGCAGCAUCAGGCUCCUCUACAACCAGGUGAGUUGUCUUGAAGUUGAUAAGGUGGUCACUGAGAACUUUGGGGGCUGCAGGCACAGGUGACCACCAGAGACCCCUGAUGGAGCCCCUCAGAGACCUUAUAAGGGUUUGUGUAGAUGGGAACAGGUGUUGGGAAUGUCCUGAAUGUGGAACAGGAAUGCAGGGAAGGAAAAUGAGCC